UUUGGUGAUUAGAGCAGCGGGGGCACACCCGGUCCCAUCCCGAACCCGGAAGUUAAGCCCGCUAGCGCCGAUGGUACUUGGCUGGAGACGGCCCGGGAGAGUAGGUCAUUGCCAAGG
rnacentral:rRNA from 2 species